rnacentral:rRNA from 1 species
UACGAGUGCCUCAAGCGUUAUCCGGAAUCAUUGGGCGUAAAGGGUGUGUAGGUGGUUGUAUUAGUCUUCUGUUAAAUUCUUCGGCUUAACCGGGGGCAUGCAGGGGAAACGGUACAACUCGAGGAUGCGAGGGGUCUGCGGAACUCAUAGUGUAGCGGUGAAAUGCGUUGAUAUUAUGGGGAACACCAAAAGCGAAGGCAGCAGACUGGAGCACUCCUGACACUGAAACAAGAAAGCGUGGGUCGCGAAUGGG